UGAUACAAGUAACUUGAGUAUGAUGAUAAUGGAAAGUGCUCUCAUAAAAAGUUUUGUGUAUUUAAAGAAGUGGUGACUUCAAAGAGCCUUAACAGAAGAGUCACACAUGCAAUUGCUGUGUGAAUAAGUUUUCCAUUUUCACAGGUCAUUCUCACCUCGCCGCAUGGGUGGCCGAUUCCGCUCAAGGUCUCCAAGGCGGUCAAGGUCACGCUCCCCCAGGUCUGUUUCUCGAUCACCAAGGUAUGAUGAUUAUCGUCGUCGAAGUGAUUCUCCUGAUUUCAAGAAACGCAGCCGAUCUCGAUCAUAGGCUAAGAUCCAGAGAACAACUUGAAAUUAAAAAAUGAAUAUGUGACACAAGAACAAAAUUAAGACUCUUUGUUUUGUUAAGAGAAGGAAUAGCUCUUAAGAGUUGUGUUGCAAAGCUGAAAAUAUUAUAAUUAUUUGAAGAUUGACAGUAAACCUGACUUAUGUCAUGGAAAGUAGAAUUAUCAUAAAAAAAAUGAUAAUGAAAAAAAAGUAAAAUAUCCCAUGAACAUAGUUUUUCUGAUUUAUAUAGAUGUAUACUUUCUUUGCUCUAUAAGUGUUGAUCACUGCCUAGUUGGUUAGCUAUAUGUUUCAAAGUAUCUGAAAUGGCAUAAUAGGUUUACUGUUGAUUUGAAGUAUAUUAGAACAAGUGUAAUCAGAAGGGAAAUAUGAAUUACUUGUGGUAUUUUUUCAUGUUAUUGUCCAUUUAAUGCAUGUGUUGUGAAUGGAUGUUAUACAGUCAUGCCAUAUUAUUAUUCAUAAUUUUAGUUAUUCAGUUGAAGUGCCUCAGACAUUUGUGGUAGUACAAACUAUUUGAAAGUUUUUGGUUGACUCCUGAAAGCAUUUUUUUUGUUAUAAUAAAGUUCAACAAUUCUU